rnacentral:lncRNA from 1 species
GCUUAUUCUACUUCUUGCCUAUUUUAUAAACCAUUUCCGAACAGCAUGCAAACCUGCUUGGAAGUUACAAACUCUUCCUACCUAAUCGUGUGCAGCAGGGAGACCCAAUCUAGUAAGGAAUGGCAAAGAUUUCCCCAACUUCGUGGCAUGUUGAUCAUGUUAGUUAAGGGCUUUGUUAGGAUCUUCCUCUUCCUGCUCACGGUGAUUUCCGGGCUCAGUUAACCAUUAAAAUCGAAUUCAACAUCAAAUUGGAGUCACCAAAGCCGCCGGCGCCUCUUCCUCCUAUGGUUGCUUUCCUCCUUUGCUUUGUUGAUUCAAUCCACACACUUAGGAUGGAUACCACUCAGGUAAGGUUCACAAAGACUCAAGCAAUUGGGAUGGAGAAGAAAUCACGAAGAAGAUGAAGGCUGAAGAACAUGGCAGAACCUCUAUCUCACGGCUUCAACUUGGACGGGUUCUACAAGGAUGAAAACACCAAUAUAUAUAGUAAGUCAAGUGGCCAACAUAAGGUAAGUAAGGAUAUGGUAAGUAGGCUCGACUAGGGUUAACUUCGAAUGGAAAGAAUCAACAAGCCACAAAGAGUAUUAGCCGUCCAAUAGGUAAAGCAACGUUUGGUCGGUUCAUCUAUUAUUCGAUGUUGAAUUAUCGUUCAGUCAUUUAUGUCGACUGAUAAAAUUGGUUUUCAUCAUCGCCCGGGAGGUCGUUUGACAGCAUAAUGUCUAACAACCUCCACCUUGGUGUCAAAGGACCUGCAAAGAAAAACGUUUUUCCAUUAGUGACACCUCUAACAGAAAAAUCGAUAAAAUUGAAAUCAUUUACCUGUACCGAUGUUUAGAAGCUCUUUGCAACUUCUAAACUUUACCAGUGGCAGCACUUUCGUGCCCAUAUCUGAAGGAUUGUACUGUGUGUGAAUUUUUUCAAGUCUUACUACUUCUUGUGAUAUUAUACCCCUAAUGAAGUGUAACCUAACAUCGAUAUGUUUAGUGUGUUCGUGAAAAACAGGAUUCUUACACAAAUGUAUGGAUGAUUGACUAUCAGAAUACACAACCAUAUACUCAUUCAAGACACUCAGUUCAUGAAGUAGACCUCUAAGCCAUAGAGCCUUUUUAAUUGCUUCAGUGGUGGCAAUAUAUUCUGACUCUGUAGUGGAUAGUGCAACUAUGUGUUGUAACUGUGAUUUCCAACUAACACACGAAUUUGAUAAGGUGAAUACGUAAGAGGAAGUUGAUUUCCUACCAUCCCUAUCUCCUGCAUAGUCAGCAUCUA